UGAAAUGUCUGCUCUAGACUCACACACCUGUCUCGCUCCCUCCUUCCAGAACUCUUAAAACGCCUAGAUGACGUUUCCAACGAUGUGAGGAUGGCAGCCGCCUCCACCUUGGUCACCUGGCUGCAGUGUGUCAAGGGUGCCAACGCAAAAUCCUACUAUCAGAGCAGUGUCCAGUACCUGUACCGAGAGUUGCUGGUUCACCUUGACGAUCCAGAGAGGGCCAUCCAGGAUGCAAUUUUAGAGGUCCUCAAAGAGGGCAGCGGGCUGUUCCCAGAUCUCCUGGUGAGGGAGACGGAG
rnacentral:sRNA from 1 species